GAUGAACGCUGGCGGCGUGCCUAAUACAUGCAAGUCGAGCGAACAGAUAAGGAGCUUGCUCCUUUGACGUUAGCGGCGGACGGGUGAGUAACACGUGGGUAACCUACCUAUAAGACUGGGAUAACUUCGGGAAACCGGAGCUAAUACCGGAUAACAUAUGGAACCGCAUGGUUCUAUAGUGAAAGAUGGUUUUGCUAUCACUUAUAGAUGGACCCGCGCCGUAUUAGCUAGUUGGUAAGGUAACGGCUUACCAAGGCAACGAUACGUAGCCGACCUGAGAGGGGGAUCGGCCACACUGGCACUGAGACACGGUCCAGACUCCUACGGGAGGCAGCAGCAGGGAAUCUUACGCAAUGGGCGAAAGCCUGACGGAGCAACGCCGCGUGAGUGAUGAAGGGUUUCGGCUCGUAAAACUCUGUUAUUAGGGAAGAACAAACGUGUAAGUAACUGUGCACGUCUUGACGGUACCUAAUCAGAAAGCCACGGCUAACUACGUG
rnacentral:rRNA from 1 species